GGAUCAAUCUAUCGGUCGUGCAAUAGUACGUACUGAUUUUAUUGAUUCCUACCUUCUGAUGAACUAUGAUGUCAUUAAUUUGGUGUCAUAGGGAAUCAGGACUGUUACUUUGAAAAAAUUAGAGUGUUCAAAACAAGCUUAUGCUUGAAUACAUUAGCAUGGAAUAACGGAAUAGGACUU
rnacentral:rRNA from 1 species